rnacentral:rRNA from 1 species
GAUGAACGCUGGCGGCGUGCCUAAUACAUGCAAGUCGAGCGAACGGACGAGAAGCUUGCUUCUCUGAUGUUAGCGGCGGACGGGUGAGUAACACGUGGAUAACCUACCUAUAAGACUGGGAUAACUUCGGGAAACCGGAGCUAAUACCGGAUGAUAUUUUGAACCGCAUGGUUCAAUAGUGAAAGACGGUCUUGCUGUCACUUAUAGAUGGAUCCGCGCUGCAUUAGCUAGUUGGUAAGGUAACGGCUUACCAAGGCAACGAUGCAUAGCCGACCUGAGAGGGUGAUCGGCCACACUGGAACUGAGACACGGUCCAGACUCCUACGGGAGGCAGCAGUAGGGAAUCUUCCGCAAUGGGCGAAAGCCUGACGGAGCAACGCCGCGUGAGUGAUGAAGGUCUUCGGAUCGUAAAACUCUGUUAUUAGGGAGGAACAUAUGUGUAAGUAACUGUGCACAUCUUGACGGUACCUAAUCAGAAAGCCACGGCUAACUACGUG